CCGCAUGGCUCAGCAAUGCGAGUCAUCCUGUGUUCCCAGUGCCCACUGGGACAGCUGUCUGUUGAUGUAGCGCUAUAGCUUCAUCUUUUUUUUUCUUUUUUUUUUCUAACUGACAUUCAGAUGACUGCAGGGUGCUGGGAAGGGUAAGUGGCUUAUGUACAGUACUUGGAGUCAUACCUUCCUGAUAAGAGGAUUGUGACCCCUUAAGUCUUGGAAAGCCAUUCUUUUCAUUGCUAUUUAUUCUGGGAUGAUAAACAGUUUUAGGGGAAAGGACUCUUCUCAUCAUGAUGACUGUCUUCUAUAUUUGAUCGCAGGAAUUUUCUGAAAGGAUUACUAAACCAAAAUGAUGUCUCUGGUGCUUUUUAGCCUAUGACAUGAGAAGUUACAGUCAGUGUAACAUGUUGCAACAGCAAACUUUGCAUUUUUCUGGGACACUGACAGUGAUCGUAAGCAAAAUAAUGAAUUAUAUCAUGUGCCAAAAAAGUAAAACUAAUGCUGUUUUCUCAGAGCAUAUUUUUCAUUUGAAUGCAAGAGAACAGGUGCACUGUUCAGUUGUUCAGGACUUGUUCAGUUUUGGUGGUUGAGUUACAGAAAUAAAUGGUUAUUGGGUGUGUUUGGGGUACAAGGAGUUAUGGAGUACUUUGGAAAAAAUAAAGAGGUUUUCUUGUGUCAUAAAUCAGAACAGCCUGGAAGGAGGAGAAUGAAUGCCAGCAGAAAGCAAUCUUACAACAGGUUCAAGCACUAAUUUCAGCAAUAAGAGUGUAGAUAAACGCCAAGAAAAUCAGUUCUGCAGUGCUAAGAGACUCUAUCCGGUGGGGCACAAGCAGGACAAGUCACCUGGCUGAAACAAGUCAGUCUCAGGUACUUCCUGUGCAACAUGUACAUAGAGCUCCACUGCAUUAAGAUCUAGCUAUCUUGGGUGUUGUUUAUCUCAUUAGCAUCAUUAGCAUGCUAUGUUCAUGACACUGACCUUUCAAGGUGUCUCUCCUCUGAACUAUUUACCAGUAAUGUGAGUACAUCCAAACUUGCCUUCUAGUGCCCAUCAUACCUAUGCCCUCCCUUUCCCUGAAAUGAAGCUGGACAUCAGGUGGUUCCCUUACUACUCAGAAUAUAUAUGACAUUAGAGGAUGAGCUCCAGAACUAAAAUAGAGUAUGUGGCAGCUCAAGAGACUUUUGGAACAUUUUUUUCCAAACCGAAGUGGAGCCAGGAUAUCAUUCCCAGAGAGUGGUAUGUCCUGAAUCACUGCAGGGCCCUUUCUUGCAGCAGCAUUGUGCUCCUGCUAUGUGUCUCUGUGAUCAGAGGCAGCUCUGCUUAGCUUUUUCUUGUCCGUAAAUGUGCAGCAACAGAUUAUCUUGCUCUGUAUUAUUCUGUGAAUCUUCUAUGGGAGAUCUGCAACCCUAGUAGAAUGGCUGAAAAGAUCACUUCUUGUUUAUUGGUAACAGAUCACAGCAGAGAACUGACAGCCUGGUAUAUAAAACUAGACCAGCAAAACUUAUCCAAGACAGUGUAAGCGGGUAGAUCUUUCUCUGCAAAUGGCCAGUGAAUCCAGAGCCCACAUGAGCUUAACAUCUCAGUGUUCCAAAGGGAAACACUGACCCACUUCUCACAUCAAGCUGCCAAAAAAAAAUCCAGCCACAUGUAACAAUUAAAGCAUCCAGUCUCUGCUGACUAUGGAGAACCAGAAAUAAAAGUGAGUCUUCCUUGAUAAUCCUGAGUUGCUGUGUAAAAACACAAAACAAAAAAAAAACAAAAACAAAAAAGCCCCAUACAUAAAACUGCUGUAACAAAGGGUUACAAUCUAAACUGACCAAAUGCAAUGCUCGUAAGCUGAAUGUCAUGUGAACCAAGAUAAUUAUUCUGAGAUAGCUGAUAUGAACCUGUGCAUUUUUACUAAGACUCUAGCCCUGUUGCUUAUUGCUAUUGCUUAAUGUUAGAAGGUGAAGUAGCAUAAUGAGCUUGCAGCCUUGUGCUGGGCUGUAACCACGUAAUCCCCUUUCAACAAGUGAUUUCUUGCAUCUCUGUUAAGGUAGUAAUAGCAGAUGGUCAGUGGGAGAUGUGUAACAGGAAUCUGGAAAACACUUGCUGGUCUGCUAACGGAUCUGCAAUGAGCUGCAAGGUGAAGGCAAUUUAUAUUGCCACAAGAACUUUGCAGAAGAAAACACAAAAAGGCAGCAGGCCCAUUCCCAGAUAUCAAAAGAGGAGUUGUCAGAGCAGUGUAAAGAAUGCUUGUAAGUAAUUUUUAAAGUUGUUAAUAGUAGAGGGAAAGCUUUAUGUGUGAUACAAACAAUAUUACACUUCCUGUCAAGUGUAUCACCAUUGUGUUUUCAGUGUUGUCACUAUCCCAGCCAACAGGCACCUCCCAGCCCUCUGCCCUUGGCUCUGCCCUUGCACCCAAGGUGUUGCCUUGUGCGGUGCCUGGCUGUCUCUGGCAUCUCCUGCUGCUAGAUAGGCAAGGCAGGCAGGCAGCAGGGGCUAGAAAGUGCUUGUGCACUGCAGAGGGCAUGAAUCCAGCAACCCAUGUUCUGUGAGUGUGCAGCCAUGGGUAUUGCAUACCCAAAGAUACUCCUAAGGAACAGUAACCCACAGCUUUCUCCUUCAGUGUGCAAUGGCUUUUUUCUUUCUCUGAGUGCACAUUCAUACGUUACACAUAUUCAUACACAAUGGAGCACUAACUCAUAAUAUAUUGCAGUAACUGUUUUUCUUUCUCUAUUUUGACUGUUUGUUUUCCAUAAAAGGCAGGAAUGUAUUUAUCUAGCAAAUAAACUCUGUGAUAAUUUAUCAUCACCAUGCAGUUUGGGUAUAUCGCUCAAUCCCCUCACUUUUUCAGCACUCUGGUAUAUAUGUAUGUUUGAUUAAUUUAAAUGAUCAAGGAAUUAUUAUAUCACCUGUUUAAACCAAUUUUGAGACUUCUCAUAAAUGUAUCUUUCUUUGGGUAAAAUGUUGAAGAGAAACAAACUAUCUCCUUAGGAAAACAAACGAGAUUUCACCAAGGUACGCAAAGUUUGUUUUAACUACAAAAUCAGAGUAUAAGAAAUUAAUAAAUUAACAGUGGGAUGGGAUUAUAAUUCAGUUUGUUCAUAUUAGCUGUUAACAAAGCAAAGAAGUUACAGUCUGGGAGGUUGCUGAUCUGGGCUUCAUAGCGCUCUGGUGAAACCCAAACCAGCAGUGAGUGAUUGCAUCACUUACUGUAGUGCUUAAAAAAACCCUGCUCAGAUGACAUUAGGGCUGGGAUUUCCACACAAUCUGAAAAAAUCAGUGAUUUAUAUUUAAAAGCAAGGGAUUGGAAUGUAUCUGAGACCUUGAGCUCUAUCACAAUUGCACUUGUGCAGUACAUGUGAAUCUAGCUAGUUCACCAGAAUGGUUCUCAGUUAAGCAGCAAAGUGCAGCUUAAGGCACCAGAACAGUUAUCUGUCAGAAGGGUUAUCUGCUGGCUGCACACUCGGCCUUCAGUCAGCAAUGUUGGUCAAGUUCUGUGUAUCCAGAACCUGUGCCAAUGUUAUAUUCACGUAACAUCUUACUACGUUUUUAUGUGCUCAGCUGUGGCAACAGGGUUUGUUUGUGCCAGUAUGGAGUUGUAAAAAAGGUUUAUGCCAUUCAUAAAUACUGCAGAACAACUUCAAUCAGUCAGAAAAGGAAAGCUAGAGGGAUGCAGAACAAGUUUUCAGCUAUACAACGUGAGAGUACUUUGAAAUCCUGGUCAUGUUGAUAAUCCAGCAGGUAUCCAGGCUGGCAACUGCUCUGCAGUGAAGCACAUUUAGUGCUUUUGACUAGCAAUGGAGAAUUCAGCUUCACUCCAAAGUGACAUUUUCUGCCUUUCCCUCAGUGUUUUAUUUUGAAUUUUACACUAUCUUAAAUUAAAGCCUCCCAUACUGAAUCUUGCUCUAUGUUUGCCUGAGACCUUGUAAGUACAGCUGUCCCAAGUAUGAUACCUUUUUUCCUUUGUAAGAGUAAGGGGAUGCUCUAGUUUUGGGUGAUGCAAACAUCUCUCUGAAAUGCUUCAGGAAGAUGUGCCAGAGCUCUUUUGAAUGCUCUCCAGAGUUUCUACUGUUUUAUGUUUGGGCACGACAUUCUACUAGCAUCUAUUUCUCCUUGAAUACUUUCAAGUAUUGCAUCCAAGCACUGCACUUCCUUGUAGCACUGCAUUACAGUAUGCAUUGAAACAAUUAUCUAACAGAAUUCCCAAAUGUCUCUCCAGGCAGAAUAAACUAGGCUAUAGUCAUAACAUGCUAUAGCUGGAAGGACCUUGGGGUAUAAUCUCUUUCCACACCUCUGCUCCAAACAGGGCUGGAACAUAAUACAGACUCACCCACCUUGUCAGACAACCAAGGGUUCUCACCUGGUGACCGCCUGUGGUGUUCCCAUCAGAACAGAAAGAAGAGGUCACUGCAUUCUCUGAUGCUUUGAUCCAGAUCACAGCAUUGUCUUUUUGCUAAGUGAGUGGUCAUUCAAUCCUGCUGAGUAAUCCUGUGCUUUUAUAUCACAUUAUUACAAAGAGAGGAAAGGGCAUCACUUCCCCAUUCAGCAGCAGGAGUGGGAGAGCUAGAGGAAAUCAGAAAUCAUUCAGACCAUUGCCAAGAAACUGCAGCUUGUGCAUGUAGCCCAGUUUUAAUGAGUUAUUUUGUAUUUGGAUUUUGUUUUUCUAAUAUCUUUCUCCAUUUCUCAGUUUGAAGCAGGAAAUGGAAGAGAAAUAAUGAAACAUUUCACAUUCACUGGGGUCCUGGACUUCCUGUGUCCAGGAAGUUUAGGAAAUCUCAGACUGAUGACCAACUUUGCCUGAUUUCCAGCCCAAAUAGAUCUAGGAAAUUCUUUUUUCUCACUUCCAGUGUUCUUGAGCCUUAUUUUCAAAAGGUUGAACUCAUGGUCACAGAGAAACUCAUAUAUUUGCACAUUUUAUUGGCAUAACUAUUGAGUUUGUGCCCCUGUACAGAUGAAUUUGUGAUUGUCCUCACAACUUCCUGUUAGGCUUUCCUCAUUUCGUGUUGGAUCAUAGAAGGCAGAGGAAUUUCCCCCACCCCUCCUUUGAGGUAGGGACAAAAGAUUUCAUUUUAAAAAUAAUUGAUAUUUGUCACCUCCUCUCAGAAGUCAUCACCAGCUGACCCAGAGACCUGCACAGAUGGUAAGAAUAGUUUUCUUGAUGAAACUCAGGCAAUCAAUCAGCAACUAGAGAAAAAUGUUGCUAAUUCAUUCUGAAAAGAGCCAAAACAAAAAGCCGCAUGCUUUUGAAGCUCUACCCAGCAGUUAUAAUGCUAUUGGUAUAUGCUCCACGUGUUUCACUGCAAUGGUCACUUCAUUUUAGAGGUUCACUGCUAUACGCAGUUUCUGUCCCAGAAGCACAAACAGUGAAUUUGUGGUACUAGUGUAGUAAAUCCAAGUAAAUAGAUCCCAAGAAUAUGCUUCCACUCCCUCAGCUUAAUGUCUCAGAUUUUAUGGAAAAUGUUAUAGUUGAUGCUAAUCAUGUUGGAAAUGGUGCUGCUUCCACAAGGCGUUUUGAAGGAGGAAGAGUACAGCCGUAUCAGACAUAAAAUGUUGAUGGCAGGAUGAAAACAUCUUCUCAUUGGAAAUGAAUGUCUGGUAAAAUGAGCUCUCAGAGCAUUGCAGUAUCACUUACAGGAAUACAUGUAGCCGACAAGCAGACCUCCAGCCUGUUGAACCAAGUGAAUUUAAUACAAGUAAAAUUUUGGAACUGUCACUGCCGGUUGAUUAAGAAGUAAAGUCAACUAUUAAACACACUCUGCAAGUGCAGUUAACUUUCUACUUACGAUUUCUGCAACCAGGACAAGUGGGAGAAAAUAGUAGGUUUUACCUUAAGAUGAGAAAUGUGUAGAUGAAUUAGUUCAAGGAUGUGAACUCAUAAGGCUAUAGUACAAGAUUUGAGUUUUACUUUGAAUGUAUUUUUUCAGAAGUGUGGAAUAGUCAUGUAAAGACACUUCAUUUUAGUCAUGUAAAGAUAGAAUUACUAAUUGAUUGCAGCAUUAAAAUGCUCAGAUUUGCAGCAGUCUUUUCCUUUCUGCGUGAGGCACCUGCAAAAACUGCAGCCCAAGAGUUGCUGAGGAAUGUGUAUUGGAUUACCCACUUUUCUGAUCCUGGAAGGGAACAGUCAGAAUGCACAUUUCCACACAAGGUACAAGUUAACAAAAAAGCAGCCUUCACAUUUCAGAUAAGAUGAUGGAAGGAUAUUCACAUUUGUAGCAACUUCUGGAUUUACUGCUUAAUUUUCCACUGACCUUUCAAAAAACUGCUUUUUUUUUCUUCUGAGCUGUAAACAGUGCAUAUGUUCAUUAUAUCCUAGGGCAAGAAAAGACUGUGGAAAAUAGAUGAAACCAAAUCCAAUUUUGCUUUUCUUUAUUACAGAAUUAUUGGUGUAUGCAUAAAAAUAAUGGUUGUGUGUUUAUUUGGUAGCUGGUUGUAACAGAAGUAAGACACUGAGAAAGUUGUUUUUAUUCCUGAGUGGCCAGAAGUAACUCAUAAAUAAUACUGGAAAGAAAAAACUUAGUAUCUCAAGUAAGGGGUUAAAAUGUGUUGCUGUUGUUGUUUUUAAUUACAGUUGUACAUAUGAGAAUGGCACUUGUUAAUCUCUUAUCAAAGGGUUCUAUUUUUCUUUGAUCUAACUAUAAUUUAUUGAGAGCAGUUGCCACAGGCAUCUGUAAUCCAGCAUUAAUCCCUGUAUGCAUUCCAUUCUGUUCUGUGCUGGCCUUUUUCCAUACACUGUGGUGAAUGUAUUCUCCCUUUUGUCUGUAUGUGCAUCUCCCAUUUGUCUCCAUCGGAGACUCAUGUACUCUCAUACACACAGAUUGUCCCCUUGAGUGCAUAUUUUCUUUGUAUUUUAUUUCACGUGUCCAUUAAUUAAUGUGAUUCAUUGCUACCGAGGGAGUUCUCCCUUGUACAUAUUAAUGGAGCCUUCAGAAGUGAGGAAAAAACAAACAUUUUCUUGCUUGUUGUUAUCUGAGAACAAUAGUAGGGACACAUGGUAGCAGCUUUCCCAGAGUGACAGUGUUUCAUCCACAGCUGCAGGAGAUUCUGCCACCUUUAAAUGCCAAGGCAAGUGGGAUGGACAGUUCUGAAGCAGUCCCAUACUUGUCCUGUACUUGCAGGGAGAUGCUGAUCAUUCUUACAUAGAAAAAGAAUUUUGCUUGAGUAGACUGCCCCAAAGCCAUUGAAUUGGCACAGAAUUACUCCAGUGGAAUGUACAUUUCUGAAGAGUAUUUUUAAUGCACUCAGAGACUAAUGUACCCAUUUGUUACUAAAAAUGAAACUAAGCAGCCAUCAGAAAUUGCAAGGAACUCAGGUGUCAGCUUGGCAUCAGUUAACUUCUAGGUUCUCAGCCUGAGUUCUGUAAAUGGCCUCCAAGUUCAUAACGUGGUUACAGUUGUGUGGAAUCACUCCAUGUGGUGUCUCUGGAGAUUUUAAGUGUAAGCCUACAGAUAUGUAACUGAACAGAUGAAUAGUCAAGAAAUUUUAUGACUAAGCUAAAUUACUGCACCAUGUUAAUUGAGUAAUGAUAGCCAUAGCCAUCCAUACGGCCUCCAUGUUAGGCAUACUGACAUGUUGAUCUAGACUGUGACCACUCCAGGCUCCUCAGCUCCCCAGGGUGACUUAUCAUAUAAAGAUCUGCAUGUUGGCUUGGCUUGAAGAAACAUCUGAUGCAGGAAUUUUUUUGCUAUUUCACAUUUUAACAUAGAUUCUUUCCAGAGAUACAACAUAAAGAGAGCCGAUAAAGUUUACAUAGCACAUUCUGAAGACUCCUCACUUCCCCAGUGACAAGUCACUGCUUACCUUUAAGAAGCUCUUUAAAGCUGCUAUCACUAUAUCACAGGUGAACAAGUUUAAAAAAAAAAAAAAAAAAAAAAAAAAAAAGAGGUGUUCAGUAAAAAAAAUAACAUUCAAACUUCUGUUUCAUCUUUAGCACUUUUCUCUCACAUGUCUGUUCCUGUUUCUUAUCUGUGCUAGAGAGCAGAGGCUCAGUGAGGACCAAGACAUGUGACGACACGUGACUCACCUUCACCUGCUUUUCACUCAGGUGGCUUUUCCAUGGGAGACAGUUACAUGUGGCUUGCAUUAGCAGUUUAUGAGCCAGAGAAAAACAUGUACUCCAAAACCUGCAGAAGACUUCCCAUUUUCUUUAUGUUAGAAACUGCCUUUCUGGAUUUAGAGGCCAAAGACCAUCCCAUGUAUUAUGGAUUAUCAACCCUGUCUUGCUCUUUCAGUGCAGACAGUUUUCUGAGGAAGAAACAGGCCAAUGAUGAGCAUGCUUGGAUGAUCUUUCUAGUUAUAGAAGAGAUAGUAGAACUUGAGAAAAUAGACUGAUGUAGAGGAUGGAAGAUCCAACUUCAUCAGAAAUAAUCUUUUAUUGGAAAAUAAGAAGGCGGCAACAAUGAAGAGUUUAAUGAGUACUUUCUCUUAGGCAUGCAUUUUCUUUGAAGUGGUUACUUCGGUGAGAAUUUCUUAACAUAAAACUGGGGACUAAUGCAAGUAUAUUCUAUGCUCCAUUGACUUUUGAUCUGAGAAAAAAAGACACUAUUCAACUUUAAAUAAUCUUAUUUACUUACAGGCUGAACUCAAAUCUGGACUCAUGUUCUUCCCCAGACUGCUGAGGAAUAAAAUCUAUUUUGAGAGGUACCUGAGAAGUAAUGGAAAGCCCACUCUGAACACAGGAAUUGUUUAGUUUCAGCAUUUAUCAGGAGUUUUCUAUCACAGACCACAAGGUGCAUCCUUGUGCAGAAGCAAAUAGCAGCCUGACUGGUUUCUUUAUGAGCUGAUGGUUUCCACUGCCUACUGACAGGCUUUGAAAUACAGAGCGCUAAUCACUGUGUAAGGACAUGCCAAUUUCAUCUUGACAUAAAGCAUAAAUUGCAUAAAUUCAGCCUAUAUAGAGAGUUGAUAAUGUAAGUGAAUUAGCGGAGUAUGGAUUGUUGAAGCAUAAGGAGACUAAUGAACUAUUAGCCACAGACAGAAAUGUUAUCCCAGACAAAAAAAAACAAACAUUAGUAUGCAAUCAGUACAGAAUGACCAAUUGCUGCUAGUAGGGUCUAUAAUUCUGUACCUGUCAGAAUAGUCAAAAAGAGUUUGUUAAACCAAAAUGUUCAAACCUAGAAUUUUACCUUUGAUUUAUAUUCUUGUACUUUCAGCAUUCCAUUCAAGCAAAUAAGUCAAUUUUUUUUAAUAAUGAACUUAUAGUUUUACCUGUUGAUUAUCUGUACCUCAGGUUAUUCUGUUUUUCUCUUUUCAGGUAGUAAGCUAUCCAGUACAUAACUUUCAUGAGUUGAAGGCUAUAUAUACUUAAAGAGUUGUCAGCCCCUUAAGAUGCCAUAAGUGAGUGUGAAGCCUCCCCCAUAAUCAGCUCUUGCCUCGAACUGGCUAAAAACCAGCUGACUGAGCUAGUAUAUCCAAAACAGAUAUGCUGCUAACAGAAAAAGCCCCUGAGCUAUUCUGUUACUACAUACGAGCACCAUCAUUUAAAAACAAAUCCCCAAAUCAUCUGUUAGUCUACACUGAUUUUUGAUAGCCCAAUAACCACAAAAUAGGGGCCACCUUCCCAGUAGAUUGUGCUGUAUCUUUACUGGAUUUGACAGUUUGCCCCAGUUCACUUAGGAUGACAAAUAAACAUUUUACCCUCUCCUUGACCAGCACACAGAAAAUUUAUCUCACUUAUGUCCUGACAGUUGUGAGCAGCCAACCAGUGAGGUGGCUCAUGAAGAGAUAUCAUACAAGGGAGAACAUACUAUAGAAGGUAUCACUAGGUGCAUUAAUGACCACAGACAUCACCAUUUUGAAGUUCACAGCCUGCCUCUGCAUCAGAAGGAGGAGAAUAUUCAUCCAAAGGCAACAGAAUACAAAAACUCAGCCAGAAGAUUUUGCUGACAGGAACAAGAUACUAAUAUCAGUUCUGCUCAGGGAAGAGAGAUGAGAGCAUCUGGAUGAACUUCCUCGAUCAUCUCUUCCUAGUUUGCAAGAACAGCUAGCUUCUAAAUUUUUGUGAGGCUGAAUGACUGUUAUGAUCUCAUCAAUCUUAGCAUGCUUCCUUCCACAUUAGGAUGGCUUGAGCAUGAGGGAUGAAAGGGAAUAACUGCUAACAGUAUCUUCAAAAGGACAUGAAGUUUUCGUUAGACAUAAUAGUCCCAAGGGAGAAAGAGGAAUCAAGUAACUGUGAAAAGUACCAGUCAGAAAUGGACAAACUUAGCUGCUGUGAGGGGCUGAAUGUGGAGCGGGGAACACUCAUCCCCACCAGAGCAAGGCAACACCACCUCCACAGCUGUACUCCCAUAGGGCCACUAGGACCAGGCAAAUUAUGUGGGGUCAGAAGCUCAUGGGGUUUGGGCUGAGGACUAUAACCUCAGCAACUGCUGGCUCUGCCUUCUCUCUGUACAUACAGGGAAUGGAAACCCUUCACACCACAAACUAUUCGCAACUGCAGCUGCUACGUAUUCAUAACAAAUGUCUGAUUGCUAAAAUUGUGUGCUGUAAGCAGUGUCAUCUUUCGUGUCGCAUAGGGACAACUAUGUAUUCUCCUCUGUGGCUGGGAUACUGAGCUGUCACUCUGGAGUCAUCCAGGCUCCUGGGCCAGGAGCUGCUGUUACCAAGCAGGAAGGUCAGGCCCCUGUGGAUGCCUCCUUUUACCCAGGGGCUGGAUUCUAACGUUAUAGGCAUUACCAGACCUUAUAGAUUAUGGAUAGCUUCCAGAGCCAGAUAGCUGCCCCUGCUGCCUCACUGCAUCACAGUCAUUUGCAGCCAGAACUGCAAACCACCCAAAAAACCUCCAGAGUGUACAGUGGUCAGAGUGCAGGCUGGUUACAAAGCGAUGCAUUCCAUGCUUCAGGCCUGGUACAUUCACGUGUGCUGAUCCCUGCACUGCGUGGGAUCCAGAGCCCUUGGGACACUUCACUCCAAGCACAAGUGGGUGGUUGCACAGUUGUUCUGAUCAUGUGUCAUGUUCAGGCACAUGCUGGAUGUCCUGGACUUAAUAAAACAUUUGGAACCAUGUUGCUGCAUGCACAGUGACAACUUGGCUGCGAUUUCCUGGUGCUUAUCAGCCAACUAACUGGGAGGUUUCCUCCUGAAGCAGUAGUCUGUCACACACAGUAACCAAAUCUCAUUGUCCGUCUUUCAUCUUUCUCAAGCUCCAAAUCUAGGUUUGAUGGUCAGUUUUGAACUCAGAACCAAAGGCUCCUUCAGAUGUGAAGGAAGCAUCAUUUGGUUUCUCAGCUUUGUGGCGUAAAAAAUACUGGAGCCCAACUCUACUCCUCUGAGUGGAUGGACACACUGCAUUAUGCAGCAUCUAACUUUAAAAGUUUCUGGAAAAAUUUUUAAAAUGAAGAGAACUCCCACAAGAUUUCCUUCUUGUUUACAGGACAAACGCUCCCAUAAAAUAAAUUCAGCAGCCAAGGGGAGUGGUGGGGGAAGCUGAGCAGCACUCAUCCUUAAUUUGACUAGCAGCCACAUCAGAUGAAAAUGCUCCUAGUGUAUAUGAUGUGUUGUUGUUCCAACUGCGGUCUAUGUGUUGAUGACCAGAUGGACCAGAGCAAGGUUGUGCUGUAGGAUCAGUGCGAAGAGGCACAACAAGGUCUGUUAUCAGAUAAGAGAUAUCUUCUCCUGAAAUGGAGUUUAAUUACGACACGUAGAGGAUCUGAAGUAUGGCUUUCAUGCACAUGGGAAGGAUCCUUCCCCAUUGAUGAUGGUGCUGAAUCUGCAUUUAUGAAUGUUCUGAACAGAUCAUGUUAGGCGGGAAUGAAAUUCAUUCACAAUUACAUUUCAGAAAUCGACACAUGAUUCAGCAUGAGUAGUGCUAUACUAAAAAUAGAAGAAAUGGUGGCUAUGGAAACCAUACAUUACUCUUAGCUAUUCCUCUACUAUUCCUUUUCUAUGUUUCUCUUACAGUCUUUCUAACAGUUCAAGUGAGCUUCUAAUCCACAAUACCAUAUUCCAGCAUUCUACACUCUUCUAAUUAAAUCCCUUCUUACCUUACAUCAUUUAUAUUCUCCAUCUCUCACCUACAUAUUUGGAACCAUUUGAGGAACAGUAAAUAUGUUCAUACCACAACACAAAAGACAUACAUCCACAGGGCUGCAGCCUGUGGGUAAUUCUGAUAUUACUUUACCAAUCAUAGUGUUCUCCUUUAUGACAGCAUGAUUUUAUGUAAUCUAUUAACAUUCAUACCAUAGAUUCUUAAAGCAUUUGGAAACACCUGUACUUGUGGAUUAUUUUCAUAGAACAGUGUAACAGCUUAUGAGAAUACUGAGAUGCUAUUGACCAUCCAAACACAGCAUAAAGAUGUUCAUCACAGAUAUUUAGACUCAUUACAAACUUUACAAGACACCACUGUCUCCUUUUGUUUUAAAUCCCUGGCACCCCCGCACACUGCUAGCAAGCUGUGCUGAACCCACAGGUGUUCCUGCUUAGGAUGCCCACCUGCUGCUCUCCUGGCAGGCAGUGAAAAAGAGGAGGGUAGGGGACAGGUGGGUUGUAUGGAGUGAUCAGCCAGAGAGGAAGUAGCUCUGGGUUUUUAUAGUUACAGUAGUAACCUUCUUACAUCUGAGCUGAAGUAAGUGCUGUCUUUGUUUUGAGCUCUGGUUGAGGGAGAACUUCAUGGGUUGUUUCCUUUGUUAUGUGUCUAAUGGUCAUGUAUAACAGUGCCCCAAAGGAGAUGUGCUUUGAGGUUAUUUCCUGCAUGAGCUGAGAUGUUUUGUGUUUGUAUUUUGUUCUUCAACUUAUUGCCUUUCCCCAGUUUGAUGGACAGAACAGUUACAUAAAAACUUCUAUAACUUUAAACCGCUUGCUGUGCUUUUCCCUAAAGUCUACGGAACAGUCCUGUAAGUGGGAUGGAAGAAAAGAACCCUACAUGCGCUUUUUGAUGGAUCUGCCUUUCUCUGCUGCAGCCUUCUGUAAAAGCCCUGUGUUCACAGUCCAGCCGGGUGGCUGGGCACCUUUGCCAUGCUUCUGAGGGGAAGAAGGGAGAAGUGCUCCUUGUGUUCUGCAGAUCCAAGUGUGGUAGAACCUCAGCAGGGUAGGUUCUGCCUGCUCCUCAUGAAGCUCCAGCAGCUGUGUCCCAGGGCAGGCAGCCUGCCAGCAGUGGUUUCCUGGAUACGUGUCGCUGCAGCUCGUUAUAGGGAGGAUGAAUAAGAGUAACUGUGCUGAUUUCAUCAUUUCCUUCACCUCCUUCAUUUCCUUCACAUCCUGCACCUUCAAAGAAAGCAAUUUGGGAUGGGGAAAACUGUAUGUUUCAGAUACUUGGUUUAACGUGUAGACUGUCAUAAAUGUUAAUAAAUGUAACUUUUAGAAAUCAUGAAUCCCAUGUUGGAGCCAGAUGAUACAGGAGGUCUCUCUGCACAGGCUGUGGAAUUUCUGUACUUUCCACAAGCACAUCUGGGUAGGCUUGGACAUCCCAUCUUUCUAGAUUUUUUUUAUUUUUUAUUUUUUUUUCAAAUUUUAUUAAUCGAUUGCUUGUUCUGACAGAACUUAUUCACUUAAACUUCCAUGUGUGCAUGCCAAUUUGGCAGCAACAGUGAGAUUUAAGAGCAUCUUGCUUGGGGGAGGGGGGAGGGGUAAAGAGUGACAUGCUAAUUUCUAAGUGUUUUGUUCUUGAAUAGUAAAGGCAUGUGACAGCCA